rnacentral:rRNA from 1 species
UACGUAGGGGGCGAGCGUUGUCCGGAAUCAUUGGGCGUAAAGCGCGUGUAGGCGGCCCGGUAAGUCCGCUGUGAAAGUCCAGGGCUCAACCGUGGAGGGUCAUUGGAAACUGUGGGACUUGAGUGCAGGAGAGAAGAGUGGAAUUCCACGUGUAGCGGUGAAAUGCGUAGAGAUGUGGAGGAACACCAGUGGCGAAGGCGACUCUUUGGCCUGUAACUGACGCUGAGGCGCGAAAGCGUGGGGAGCAAACAGG